rnacentral:rRNA from 1 species
UGUGGAAUAUUGCACAAUGGGCGCAAGCCUGAUGCAGCCAUGCCGCGUGUAUGAAGAAGGCCUUCGGGUUGUAAAGUACUUUCAGUCGGGAGGAAGGUGGUAAGGUUAAUAACCUUAUCAAUUGACGUUACCGACAGAAGAAGCACCGGCUAACUCCGUGCCAGCAGCCGCGGUAAUACGGAGGGUGCAAGCGUUAAUCGGAAUUACUGGGCGUAAAGCGCACGCAGGCGGUUGAUUGAGUCAGAUGUGAAAUCCCCGGGCUUAACCCGGGAAUUGCAUCUGAUACUGGUCAGCUAGAGUCUUGUAGAGGGGGGUAGAAUUCCAUGUGUAGCGGUGAAAUGCGUAGAGAUGUGGAGGAAUACCGGUGGCGAAGGCGGCCCCCUGGACAAAGACUGACGCUCAGGUGCGAAAGCGUGGGGAGCAAACAGG